CUACAGAGGGUGCGAGCGUUAAUCGGAAUUACUGGGCGUAAAGCGCGCGUAGGCGGUCUAUUAAGUCAGAUGUGAAAUCCCAGGGCUCAACCUUGGAACUGCAUCUGAUACUGGUAGACUAGAGUUUUGGAGAGGGAAGUAGAGUUUCAGGUGUAGCGGUGAAAUGCAUAGAGAUCUGAAGGAAUACCAGUGGCGAAGGCGACUUCCUGGCCAAAAACUGACGCUGAGGUGCGAAAGCGAGGGUAGCAAACGGGAUUAGAUACCCUAGUAGUCC
rnacentral:rRNA from 1 species